AUUGAACGCUGGCGGCAGGCUUAACGCAUGCAAGUCGAGCGGGCGAGGUUGCUUCGGUAACUGAGCUAGCGGCGGACGGGUGAGUAAAGCUUAGGAAUCUGCCUAUUAGUGGGGGACAACAUUUCGAAAGGGAUGCUAAUACCGCAUACGUCCUACGGGAGAAAGCAGGGGAUCACUUGUGACCUUGCGCUAAUAGAUGAGCCUAAGUCGGAUUAGCUAGUUGGUGGGGUAAAGGCCUACCAAGGCGACGAUCUGUAGCGGGUCUGAGAGGAUGAUCCGCCACACUGGGACUGAGACACGGCCCAGACUCCUACGGGAGGCAGCAGUGGGGAAUAUUGGACAAUGGGGGGAACCCUGAUCCAGCCAUGCCGCGUGUGUGAAGAAGGCCUUUUGGUUGUAAAGCACUUUAAGUGGGGAGGAGGCUCUCUUGGUUAAUACCUGAGAAGAGUGGACGUUACCCACAGAAUAAGCACCGGCUAACUCUGUGCCAGCAGCCGCGGUAAUACAGAGGGUGCGAGCGUUAAUCGGAUUUACUGGGCGUAAAGCGCGCGUAGGUGGUUAAUUAAGUCAAAUGUGAAAUCCCCGAGCUUAACUUGGGAAUUGCAUUCGAUACUGGUUAGCUAGAGUAUGGGAGAGGAUGGUAGAAUUCCAGGUGUAGCGGUGAAAUGCGUAGAGAUCUGGAGGAAUACCGAUGGCGAAGGCAGCCAUCUGGCCUAAUACUGACACUGAGGUGCGAAAGCAUGGGGAGCAAACAGG
rnacentral:rRNA from 1 species